UGGGAGAGCAACUGGUUGCCAGGGCAACUUGCCUUUCUGCAGACGCGGGCUGGCCGGCUGGAGAGAAGGUCCACCCGGGACAUGGAGUAGGUGGGCACUCGCUGUGGGAGUCCAGCUCAUGCUGAUUUUUUUAAAUCCAGGGUACAGAAGGACUGAUGAUAAAAAACAAAAAGAGAGUAGGAACUGUUACGCCAGCGCUUGUCACCGUUUAAAACGUCAGCAGUGUUACACAAAGACUGUGAAGAUGUGUCUGCAAGAGCUGCAGCUCAGAUGGCACUAGAUGCUGCGUCUCAUGUGCCCAGAAUUGAAGUUUAUCCUCCCCUUCAGCAUGCCACAGAACACCAGGAGUGAACUAGCAUGGGAACCACUGUUUCAGAUGAGCCUCCCAGGCCUCACCAACCUCAGACUCAGUGGAGUCCUGGACAAUGAGAUGGUAAGCAGUUCUCCUGUACCCUCAUCAACUCACAUAAGUGGAGACCCCGACAAGGAUGAUGUGAACAGAGACACCCAUGACCUGACCUUUUCAGCUAUUUGUGGAGGCAUUGAGGAGGUCUUGACCACCUCAGAAGUAUGGCGGCCCCUAAUGUCUGUGGAGUCAUUGGUCACAGGGAGGAUGUGACCAGAGCCUUCCAGGUCAUGAGAGCCAAGGCUGUUUGUGGAGCCCUCUGAAACAGUGCUGUGAGCAGCCCACCCCUCAUCCUGAGCACCUCUGACAUAUGAAGCCUUCCAAAAUGAGGAAGUGAGAAGAACACCUGUAAGGAGAGCUUGUCAGCCAUAUAGAACUCAGUAUAAAGAGGAUGUGACUGGAGCCCCUCGUGUUCUGACUAUGUAAGGUAUGUGGUGCUCACACGAUGAUAUGAGCUGAACUUCCCCACGUAGCCCACCUCAGAUGUUUGAGUCACCUACCACAAGUACAUGAUAAGACCAAAAAAAAGCCUAACGUCUCAGGGGGUAUAGAGCAUUUAAAAAACCUAUAUAUGGGCAUGGACCCCACACCCCCACAGGCCCUGAUAAUUUCAGGCAAGCGCAGAAACCUCCAAAACAUGGGUUUAACCAGGAAGCACCACUUCUGACACAGGUGUGUCUAGAACCCUCUACAAUGUGAACAUGAGCAGAGCCUCUGAAUGUCCUGACCCCUGCAGCCACAUGUGGGGCCCUGUAGCAUGGGGUUAAAAGCACAGCACCCUCAUGUCCUGACCUAUUCAGGCAUUGGUGGAGCCCUGGGCAACAGGAAUGUCAACAGAGCCCUUCCAUGUCCUGACAAUCCCAGAUAUGUGUGAUUCUCCUACAAAUCAAAUGACAGCAGAGUCCCUCCUGGUCAGUAUAACACCAUCAUGUGUGGAGCUUGCUAGAAAUUUGACGUGAAAACAGGCCCAGCAUUUCCUCACCACCUCAGGUAGGUGCAAACCUUCUGCAGUAUGGAUGAAAGCAGAGCCAUCCCCGUCUUGUGCUCAUUUCAUGAAUUUGUGGAGACCUCUUCAACAUGGAAUCUGAAGAGAGCAGCCCAUUGGAUCAACCGCUUAGGCAGGUAUGCAACUCUAUGUGGGCAGUGCCCUUUCAUGACUGGACAAUCUCAGGCAUGUGUAGAGCCCUGUACCAAGUGGAUGUUAAUUCAGCCCUCGUAUUUCUUUAUCUAUAGAGCCUUAAACAUUGGCACGUGAACAGAUUUGCCAUAUCCCAACACCUAGUGUGACUGUGAGGCCUCUACCAGGGGAAUGUGAGCAUAGCCCUCAUUCCCUGACAAUCACAAGAACCUUAUAAUGUAGCUGUGAAUCAGAGGCCUCAGUUCCUGACCACAUCACUUGUGUGUGGGCCUCUAAAAAGAGAACAUGGAAGCAGAGCCAUUCCCCUUGUCCUCAUCCUGUCUACAGAGGGUGUCCCUAUAAAAUGUGUGUGAACAGGAACCCAAGCCCACACUCUGGUGUUCUCACACCUGUUUUGAGUCUAGUACACUGUGCAGGUCCAUGGAGCUCCCCAUAUAUUGACCAACCCCAUCCUUGGAACCCGCACAACAGGACUGUAAGCAGAGCCCCCACACUCUGCCCACAUCCUGAUUACCUCAGGUAUAUAUUAGCCCUCCACAAUGUAAGUUACCAGAGCCCCACCCUAGACUUAAGCACCACAGGUGUACAAGCAGCCCCUUAAAAACCAGACAUCGGCAGUCUCUCGUUCUCUUGAACAACUCAUACAUGUGUGGUGCCCUGCAUGCUGUGAUUGUGAGCAGAGCGUCCCCCAUGUCCUGAUGACCUCAGGCAUGGGUGGUGCCCUGGACAACAUGAAUGUGAGUGCUGCCAUUCCACGCACUGACAAACUGGUUAUUUGUGGUAUUUCUGCUACAAUGGGGAGGUCAGCACACUCCACACACACUGGACACCUGCAUCAUGCACGGACCCCUUUACAAGGUGGGUGUGAGAAGAGGCCCACCGUUUCCUGAUGCUAUCAGGGAGGUGCAAACCUUCUACAAUGAGAAUGUGAGCAGUACCUAUGAGCUAUGUGCGGUCACCAUGGACCAAAUGUGUGGUGUGUGGUCCACCUUCCCUGUGAUGUGCUUGUCUCAUGGAUGUGGAGCUCUCUUCCUCAUGGAAUAUGAACAGAGCAGGCCACUGGGUCACUGCCUCAGGAAUGUGUAAGCCUCUAUGAGAGAAUGGGCACAGUGCCCCCACAGAAAUGCUGACCACCUCAGGCAUGUGCAGAGCCCUAUACAAUACAACGUGGGAAAUGGUCUCUCAUGUCUGGACAAACUCAGGCAUGGGUGGAGCUCAACGGUGUGUGUGUGUGUGUGUGUGUGUGUGUGUGUGUGUGUGUGAUCAUUUCUCCAAGUACAGAGCCUUUAGAAAAUGGGAAAAUGAAUAUGAAUCCUGUCUGCAAACUUCUAUUGAGACUUUGAGCCCUCUCCAAUGGCAGUGGAAACACAGGCCCCAUGACCUGAAACUCUCAGAUACCCAUGGAGACCUCUACAAUGUGCUGUGAACACAAACUACCUACCAUAUCCUCAUAACCUCAGCUGUUGAUCAGCCCUCUAUAAAGUGACUUUGGGAACUGCCCCUCCACAUGUCCUGACUACAUUACAAAUCUGUGUGGAGCCCACUUCAACCUGAAUGUGGCCAGAGGACCAAAUCCGGCUCAGGUCAAGGAAUCCACAAAGUGAAUGCGAACAGAGCCCCCCCCCACACUGUGACUUGACUUCUGAAGAACGUGGGGAGCCUGUACAGUGUACAUGUGAGCAGGACCCCACACACGACCCCACACUCAGGCAUUUGUGAAGACCUGAGAUACAUGGAUGUAAAGAGCAGCCCUCCACGUCCUGCCAAUCAGGGCAUGUGUGGUCCCUCUACAACAGGAGAGCACAACCAAGGCAGCUCCAUCACUGUCGCAUAUGGGGCCCUCUACCAUGUGGACAGGACAGCAGUGCCACCUCCUUCUGACUGGGUCAGAAGUGUGGAAAUCCUCUGCAACAUGGAUGUGACCAGAGCCAUGUUUCAGUGGUGAUGAUCACACGAGUGUGUUGCCUCAACAAAGAGGAUACGAUGAGAGCCGCCAACAUCCUCAAUCCCUGAGACAUGAAAACUGACAUGAACAUAACUCCCUGUGUAUCUAGUUCAAAUGUGAUUGUGAUCCCUGUACUAUCUGGUUGUCACAUGAGAUGUCCAUGACCUCACUAAGUGGCUGCAGAUGGGUCACUACUGAUAAAAAUGUGAGCAGGACUUCCUGCAUCCCCCUGACCAGUCUUUAUGAGCUAAGUCAUGUGGAGAACCUUGUACAAAGUAAACUUGACCUAAACACCCACCAUGUCCCCACCUGCUCAAACUCAUUUGAUGACUUGUGCAAUGUAACUGUAAAUCCAGCCCCAGCCCCAUGGUGUGAAGUCUACCACAAGGUGGUGAGCACAAAAACCCGUGUCCUGACCAUUUCAGCAGGGUGUGUAGCACUGCACAGUACACAUGUCCGCAGGGGCACUCCAACAUGUCUUGACGACCUCAGGCACUGGUGGAGCCCCAAAGAAUGUGGAAGUGCACAGAGACUCACAAAUUCUUGAUGAACUCAGGUGUGUAGUUCUUUUACUGAGUCAACUAGAACAAAGUCCCAACAUGUUCUAUGCCUUGCCACCCUGAAGGGAACCCUGUCCAAAGAGAACAUGUCAAGAGAUGCACCAUUUAUUGAACAUUGCAUGCCUGAGGAAAACCUCGACAACAUGGCUAUGACCAGCGCACCCCACCAUGUGGUCAAAACUUCUCCCAAGUGUGGAGCCCUCUUCAACGUGAAUGUGAAAAGAGCACCCCACAUCCUUGGGAACUCAGUUGUGGGUGGAACACUGUACGCCUGAAAUGUGAGCAGAGCCUCUCCAUGUCCUCACAACCCCUGAUCUGUGUGGAUCCCUGGACAGUGUGGACGUGACCAACCUGUGUGCUGAGUAUUUCAGGGGUUUCAAGCCCUCUGUUGCAAGGAUGCAAUCACGUGAGCUUUCUAAGUCUGCAGCACCUAAGCAGUGGUGGAACAAUCUACAUCAUUCAUGUGAGCAACGCUCAACUGGCCUGACCACAUUGGGUAUAUGGAUUACUCAGUAGUGAGGAUAAGAGCAGAGCACCCCAGGUUCGAUCCAUGUUCUGCAUCUAUGCAGCCCUUUAUAAUGCACCUGUGAAUCAGGUCACGGGUCCUGACAACAUCACUUAUGUGUAGGCCUGCAAAAAGAGAACAUGGAAACAAAGUGACUCCCCAUGUCCUUAUCCUGCUGGGAGGGUUGGUCCCUAUAAAAUGUGUAUGUGAACAGGAACCCAAGCCCAUGUCAUGUUGUCUUGAGACCUGUGUUGAGCCUUCCACAGUGUGGAUAUAAACAGAGCUCCCCAUAUCCUGGCCACCAACCCUAUCCAUGGAGCCCUGAACAACUUGACUGAAAGCAGAGUCCACACACCCCGCGCAUGCCCUGACAACCUCAGACAUGUAUAGAGCUCUACACAAUGUGAAAGUGACCAGAACCCCACCUUUAUCUUAAGACCAGAGGUGUGCAAGCAGCCCCUUACAAAGUGGAUGUGAGCAGAGCCUCUUGCUCUCCUGACCAACUCAGGUGUGUGUGGUGCCCUGCACACUGUGAUUGUGAGCAGAGCUUCCUUCACGUCCUAAUGACCUCAGGCAUUGGUGGUACUCAGGGCAACAUGAAUGUGAUCACAGCCCUGCCACACACUGAAGAUUCCAGGUAUGUAUUGUCUCACUACAAAGGAGGGGUCAGCAGACUCCACAGGCCCUGGACACCUGCAGCAUGUAUGGAGACCUCAAUAAGGUGGACGAGGGAAGAGCCUCAGCAUUACCUGGCCCUCUCAGGAAGAGAGGAAGGUUACAUUGUGGACAUGAGCAGAUCCAUCUCCAGGUUCUGCUUGUCUUGUGCAUGUGGAGGCCUCUUUAACAUGGACUAUAAACAGAGCAGGCCAUUCAGUCAAUACCUCAGGCAUGUGUGGAAGCCUCUAUGAGAGAAUGGACCCAGCCUCCCCAUCCCAAAACUGAUGACCUCAGGCAUGUGUGGAGCCCUGUACAGCACUUUAUGGGGGCCAAGCCCUCUCCUAUCUGAACAAAUUCAGUCGGGUAGAUUUCAGCCAGAUGGUGAUCAGUUCUCAAAGUACAGAGCCUAAGAAAAUGGGAAAGUGAACACACUUCCCAUGUGCCAACUGCUGCUGGGAUGGUGAGCCCUCUCCGAGGGCAGGGGAAGCACAGGCUGCUCGUCCUGAAACUCUGAUACCCAUGGAGACCUCUACAAUGUGCAGUGAGGAACGCCCCACCACAUCCUCACAGCCUCAGGUGUUUGUGAGUGCUCUAUAAAGUCACUUUGGGAACAGCCCCUUCCCAGGUACUGACUACAUCACGCCUCUAGGUUGAGGCAUUUUCAAUGUGAAUGAGGCCUGAACACCCCAUAUGCAGUUCACAUCAGGCUCGUGGGGUGGAAUAUACUCGGUAAAUGUGGACAGAGGCCCCCACAUACACUGUGACUUCACUGAUGAAGAAUGUGGGGAGCCCUGUACAGUGCAUAUGUGAAGAGAGCCAGCACACACAUGUCCUGACACACUCAGGCAUUUGUGAAGACCUGAGAAACAUGGAGGUGAAGAGCGGCCCUCCAUGUCCUGCCAAUCAGGGCAUGUGUGGUCCCUCUACAACAGAAGAGCACAACCAAGGCAGCUCCGUCUCUGUCACAUAAGGAGCUCUCUACCACAUGGGCAGGACAGGAGCCCCACCUUCUUCUGACCACCUCAGAAGUGUGGAAGCCCUCUGCAGCAUGGAUGUGACCAGAACCGUGCACCUGGGGUGAUCAUCUCAGGUGUGUGUGGAGGCCUCAACAAAGAGGAUGCGAGGAGAGCUGCCAAUAUCCUUAAUCCUUGAGGCAUGAAUAUUGACAUGAACAUAACUCCCUGUGUUUCUACUUCUAAUGUGAUUGUGACUCUUGUAUAAUGUGGUUGUUACCUUAGAUGCUCAUUAUCUUAUUAAUUGGCUGUGUAUGGGGCCCUUUCUGAUAUAAAUGUGAGCAGGGCUGCCUGCAUCCCUGACCUGUCAUCAUGAGCUAUGUGGAGAACCUUGUACAAAGUAAACUUGACCUGAACACCCACCAUGUCCCCACCUGCUCAGACUUGUUUGAUGACUUGUGCAAUGGAACUGUAAACCCAGCCCUAGCCCUAUGGUGUGAAGUCUCCCACUAGGUCGUGAGCAUAAACACCCAUGUCUUGGUCAUUUCAACAAGGUGUGUGACACUGCACAAUACACAUGUCUGCAAGGGGACUCCACCAUGUCUUGAUGACCUCAGGCACUGGUGGAGCCUGGUAGAAUGUGGACGUGCAGAGAGACCUGGAAAUUCUUGACCAACUCGGGUAUGUGGUGCUUUUUCCACAUCAACUAGAACAAAGCUCCAACAUGUUAUAUGCCUUGACACCGUGAAUGGAGCCCUGUCCAAAGAAAACAUGACAACAGAUGAACCAUUUCCUGACCAAUGGAGGCCUGAGGAAAACCUUGACAACAUGGCUAUGACCAGGACCCCUGACAUUUGAUCACCACAUCUCCCAUGGGUGGUGCCCUCUUCAACCUGAGUGUGAACAGAGUACCCACGUCCUCAGGAGCUCAGUUGUGGGUGGAACCCUGUACAUCUGGAAUGUGAGGAGAGCCUCUGCAUGUCCUGUCAACUACAGGCCUAUGUGGAGCCCUGGGCAAUGUGGACAUUACAAGUCCAACCAUAUGGUAAGCAACUCAGGUGUUUCAAGCCCUCUUCUACAAGGAGGCAAUCACCUGAGCUUUCAAGGUCUGCACCACCUCAGCCAGUUGUCAAGACCUCUACAUCCCUCAUGUGAGCACUCCUCAACUGACGUGACUACAUCGGGUAUGUGGAUUUCUCAGUAGUGUAGGUGAGAGCAGAGAACCCCAGAUCCCAUCCACAUUCCACAUCUAUGCAGCCCUUUAUAAUGCAGCUAUGAAUCAGGGGCCACAGGGCCUGACAACAUCAAUUCUGUGUAGGCCUCCAAAAAGAGAACACGGAAGCAGAGCCAUUCCCCAUGUCCUCAUCCUGUCUGCAGAGUGGGUCCCUAGAAAAUAUUUAUGUGAAGAGGAACCCAUGCCCAUAUUGUGUUGUCUUCAGACCUGUGUUGAGACUUGUACAGUGUAGAUGGAAAUAGAGCUCCCCAUGUCCAGACCAUCAAUCCCAUCCAUGGAACCCUGUACAACUUGUCUGUAAGCAGAGCCUUUUACUCCCGGACCUUGUCCUGACUGCCUCAGGCAUAUACUGAGCCCUCCACAAUGUGACAGUGACCAGAGCCCCACCCUUGUCUUAAGCACCACAGGUGUGCAAGCACCCCUUACAAAAGGGAUGUGAGCAGAGCCUCUUGCUGUCCUGACCAACUCAGGCAUGUGUGGUGCCCUGUGCACUGUGAUUGUGAGCAGAGCCUUGCAUGUCCUGAUGACCUCAGGCAUUGGUGGUGCCCUGGACCAUCCCAGGUAUGUGUUGUCCUGCUACAAAGAAGGGGUCAGCAGAUUCCACAGGCCCUGGACACCUGCAGCAUGUAUGGAGCCCUCAGCAAGGUGGACAUGAGAAGAGGCUCAGCAUUUUCUGACCCUCGCAGGUAAGUAUAAACCUUCUACAUUGUGGACAUGAGCAGAUCCAUCCAAAGGUUCUGCACAUCUUGUGCAUGUGGAGGCUUCUUUAACAUGGAAUAUGAACCAAGCAGGCCAUUCAGUCAAUGCCUCAGGCAUGUGUGGAAGCUGCUAUGAGGGAAUGGACACAGCACCCUCUGACCCGUCCACAAGCUGACCACCUCAGGCAAAUAUUGAGCCCUGAAUAGCACUCUAUGUGGACCGAGCCUUUUCCUGUCUCUACAAAUUCAGGCAGGGGUGGAGCUCAGCCAGAUGGUGAUCAGUUCUGGAAGUACAGAGCCUAAGAAAAUGGGAAAAUGAAUGCACUUCCCAUGUGCCAACUGGUGCUGGGAUGGUGAGCCCUCUCUAAGGGCUGUAGAAGCACAGGCCGCUUGUUCUGAAACUCUGAUACCCAUGGAGACCUCUACAAUGUGCAGUGAGGAACACCCCACCACAUCCUCACAGCCUCAGGUAUUUGUGAGUGCUCUAUAAGUGACUUUGGGAACAGCCCCUCCUUAUGUCCCCACUACAUCAUGCCUGUGUGUUGAGCUUUCUUCAACGUGAAUGAGGCCUGAAACCCCAUGUGUGGUCCACAUCAGGCAGAAUCCACUAGGUGAAUAUGGACAGAUUUCCCCACAUAUAUUAUGACAUGACUUAUGAAGAUUGUGGGGAGCCCUGUAUAAUGUAUAUGUGAGCAGGGCCACCACACACAUUUCCUGACACACUCAGGUAUUUGUGAAGACCUGAGAAACAUGGAUAUGAAGAGUGGCCAUGUGAAGAAAAAUGGAUGUGAAGGCCUCCGUGUCCUGCCAAUCAGAGCAUGUGUGGUCCCUCUACAAAACCAGAGCACAACCAAGGCACCUCCAUCACUGUCACAUAUGGAGCUUUCUACCACAUGGACAGGAGAGGAGCCCCACUUCCUUCUGACCAGCUCAGAAGUGUGGAAACCCUCUGCAACAUGGCUGUGACCACAGACAUGCACCUGUGGUGAUGAUCACAUGCAUGUGUGGAGGCCUCAACAACAAGGUUAAGAACAGAGCUGCCAAUAUCCUGAAUCCCUCAGGAAUGUGCAGAACCAUCUUCAAGGUAUGUUUAGAAUGCUCCUAUUCCCCCACACCCUGUCUCUCACAUGCUGCUCAUCUCAAGCAGAUGUGCAGCCCUGUAAAAACUCAGAAAUGAGCAGCACCCUUCUGUGUCCUGACAAACUCAGGCACAUGCAGGACCCUUUGGGACUAUCGGAGCAGAUCCUCCGUGUCCUGCCUGAAUUGUGCGCAGAAUCAUCUAUAACAUGGAUGUGAGUAGAACACCUUUCUACUGACCUUCUCAAGUGUAUAUAGCCCAGGGUCACAAGGAAGAUGUGACCAGAAUCUCCCUGCAUGUUCUGUUUGGGGCGGGUGUGGCACUCUGUAUGAUGUAUGUGUGAGUAGGGCACCACACACUCAGACGAACUCAUGUAUGUGUGGAGCCCUGUACAACCAGGAUGUGAGCAGGCCUUGAAUGUAACCCCAUAGGAAUGAGGACCGAGUGGGGCUCCACUGUCAUCCACAUUGUGUGCAGUGCCUACAGGCCACAGAUGGUCAUCAAAAGGGCACAAGGGGACUAAGUACAACUCCCUGUGUAUGCAAUUCUAAUUUGACUGAGAUCCCUUUACAAUGUGGUUGUCACCUGAGAUCCCAAUAACUUCAUUAAGUGGCUGUAUAUGGUGGGCCUCCUUGAUAUAAAUGUGAGCAGCAAGGCUGCCUGCAUCCCUCUGACCUGUCAUUACUGCCUGAGGUGUAUGGAGAACCUUGUACAAUGUGAAUUUGACCUGAACACCCACUGUGUUCCCACCUGGUCAGACUUGUCUGAUGCAAUGGAACUGUAAAUGAGCUCCAGCCCUGUAGUGUGAAGUAUAGCACAAGGUUGUGAUCAUAAACACUUGUGUCCUGCCCAUCUCAGCAAGUUGUAUAUCACUGCACAAUACACAUGUGAGCAGGGGCACUCCACCAUGUCUUGAUGACCUCAGGCACUGGUGGAGCCCUGUAGAAUGUGCAAGUGCAAAGAGACCCUCCAUUUCUUGACCAACUCAGGAAUAUGGGCCUAUAGGGAAAGGGUAAUGGGAGUUGCCAGAGACCCCUGCAGUGGUCCUGAGCUUCUGCAAGCCAGUACGAUGUCCACAAGACUGGAAACUGGGAAUUAUGAGAAACACAGAGACUUGAGAGAAACUGAGUCUUGGGCUGAUCUAUGCUGCUCUGGGCAGCAAAGACAAAGGACUCCCAGGACAUCCAGUGUUUAUUUAUUACAAGUGUGGGCAGGGGGUAAACUGAGCAGGACUUGGGACACCUGCUGAUAACAAGUAUCAAGCAGGCAGGACUGUAAAAUGAGGACACAAACAUAUCUUUGCUGAAGAGAACAAAUGGUGAAUUCAGAGGGGAAGAAUUUAGCUGGAGUCAGUUGACCUUGACUGGGAGUGAGCUCAGCCAAGCUCUGCUAUUUCCAAUGUAACACAGCCAAAUUAGGGAGGGACAAGAAGCUUGUGCCACUAUAGGCUGCUAAUACUGGAUGAAGGUGUCUGCUACAUGGGCCCUUUGUAAAGUCAAAUAGAACAGAGGCCCAGUAAGUUUUAUGCAUCACCAUCAUGAAUGGACCCUUGUCCAAAGACACACCAAGAGACUCACAAUUUCCUACCCAAUGCAGGCCCAUGGAAAACCUCUACAACAUGGCUAUGACCAGCACCACCCACCAUGCCAUCACCACAUCUCAGAAGGAUGGAGCCCUCCUCAACAUGAAUGUGAACAGAGCACCUGAGGUCCCUAAGAGCUCUGUGGUGCAUGGAAUCCUGUACACCUGGAAUGUGAGCAGAGCCUGUCCAUGUCCUAAAAGCUGCAGGGCUAUUUUGAGCCCUGGACAAUAUGGCCACAAGCAGCCCAACUAUAUGCUGACCACCUCAGGGAUUCUGAGUCUUCCAUUACAAGGAGGAAUUGACCCGAGCUUUGCAAGUCUGGACCAUCUUAGCCGGUGGUGGAGCCCUCUAUAUCAAGGAUAUGAGGACUGCUCCACUGGCAUGACCACAAUGGGUAUGUGGAUUCCUCAGUAGUGUGGAAAGAGCAGAGCACCUCAUGACCCACCCUUGCUCUGCAUGUAUGUACUCCUUUAUAAUGCAGCUUUGAAUCAGAGCCCCCAGGUCCUGACCACAUCACUUGUCUUUGGGUCCCCAAAAACAGAACAUGGAGCCAGAGGCAUUCCCCAUAUCCUCAUCCAGUCUAGAGGAUGGAGCCCUAUAAAAUGUGUAUGUGAACAGGAACCCAAACCCAUGUCCUGAUAUCCUCAGACUUGUGCUGAGGACAGGUCUUGUACAAUGUGGUUGUAAAUAGAGCUUCCAUGUGCUGACCACCAAGGCCAUCCAUGGAGCCCUGUACAACAUGACUGUAAGCAGAGCCCCCACACCCCACCUAUGUCCGGACUACCUCAGGCAUAUACUGAGCCCUCCACAAUGUGAAAGUGAACAGAGCCCCACCCUUGUCUUAAGCACCACAGGUGUUCAAGCAGCACCUUAAAAAGUGGAUGUGAGCAGAACCUCUCUCUGUCCUGACCAAUUCAGGCAUGUGUGGUGCCCUGCACACUGUGAUUCUGAGCAGAGCCUCCCCAUGUCCUGACAACCUCAGGCAUUGGUGGUGCCCUGGACAACAUGAAUGUAAUCACAGCGCUGCCCACACAUUGACAAUCCCCUGUAUGCAUGCUCCUGCUAAAACUGGAAGGUCAGCAGACCCCACACGCACUGGACACCUGCAUCAUGCAUGGAGCCCUCUACAAGGUGGACAUGAGAAGAGCCCCACCAUUUCCUGACCCACUCAGGUAGGUGCAAACCUUCUACAAAGUGGAUGUGAACAGAGCCAUCCAUGAGUUUUGCUCAUUUCAUUCAUUUGGAUCCCUCUUCAACAUAGAAUAUGAACAAAUCAGCCAAUUCAGUCAAUGCCUCAAGCAUGUGAGAAACCCUCUACUAGGGAAAUGCACAGCAUGCCUCCCACAAAGACCCCUGUGGAGCCCCAUACAACACUCCAUGUGUGCAGUGCCCUGGCAAGUCCGGACUACCUCAGGUAAGGUUGAGCCUGGCCAGGUGAAGAUCAUUUCUCCAAGUAUAGAGCCUUAGACAAUAGGGAGGUGAAUACACUUCCUGUGUGCAAACUCAUACUGUGAUUGUUAGCCCUCUCCAAUGGCAGUGGAGGCACAGGCUCCACAUCCUCACAGCUCAGAUAACAUGGAAACUGCUACAGUUUGAAGCAAGGAAUGCCCCACCACAUCCUCACAGCCUCGUGUUGGGGAGCCCUCAAAAGUGACUUUGGGAACAGCUCCUCCCCAUGUCCUCACUACGUCAUGCCUGUGUAUAGCCUUCUCGACCUGAAUGUGGCCAGAGCAUCCAAGCACAGAACACAUCAGGGUCCUGUGGAGAAAUCCAUCAGGUGAAUGGGGACAGAGGCCAUUACACACACUGACUUGACUUUGAAGAACAUGAGGAUCUGUGUACAGUGUAUAUGUGAGCAGGACCACUACCCAAAUGUCCUGACACACUCAGACAUUUGUGAAGACCUGAGCCACAGGGAUGUGAAGAGUGGCCCUCCAUGUCCUGCCAACCAGGGCAUGUGUGGUCCCUCUACAACAGGAAAGCUCACAUAUUGAGCCCUUUACCUGGUGGACAGGAUAGGAGCCCAAGCUAUCCACUUCUGACAGUCUCAGAAGUGUGGAAACCCACAGCAGCAUGGGUGUGACCAAAGCUAGGUGCCUGUGGUGAUGAUCACAUGCAUGUGUGGCGGCAUCAGCAAUGAGUAUGUGAACAGAGCCAAUAUGAUGAACAACUCAGGUAUGUGCCAAACUCUGUGCAAGGUGAGUAUGUAAAGAAUACCCCUAUACCCCCACACCCCAUACAUGCACACAUGCUCACCAUCUCAGGCAAGUGUGCCACCCUGUAAAACUUAGAAGUGAACAGGACCUUCCUUUCUCCUCACAAAUUCAGGCACAUGUAGGGCCCUGCAAGAUCAUGUGAGCAGAGCCUCCAUGUCCUGUGGACCUGAAUUGUGUGCAGAAUCAUCUACAACAUGGAUGUGAAUAGAAAACCUUUUUCCUGACCUUCUCAGAUGUACGUAGCUCAGGGCCACAUGGAGGAUGUGGCCUGGGGCUUCCAUGUCAUGACAACUGAAGCCACCUGCAGAAAUUUCUAAAGCAACAUGAGCAGCACCAACCCAUGUCCUGACCACCUCUGGAAUACAUGUGAGCAGCUUAUCCCAUGCUGUCACAAACUCAAUCAAGUGUGAAGCACUGUACAACCAGGCUAGGAGCAGAAAGCCCCAUGUUUUGACCUCCUCAGGUAGGUGAGGACACCUGGCAAAUGUAGAGGUGAUUGAAAUCUCCAUGCAUGUCCUGAUUUUCUGGGUGGUGGGGUCACUCUGUAUGAUGUAUGUGUGAGUAGGGUCCCCACAUGUGGAUGAACUCACCCAUGGGUGGAGCCCUGUGCAAAGAGGAUGUGAGCAGCCCCCUGGGUCUUCUUGUACUAAUUAUCUGUGGCCUGGAUAAAAUGUAAAUGAGAGUGGAGACCCAUCCCACACUCAUUUCUGCAGGGAUAUAUAUGAGGCCUUUAUAAGGUCCACAUGGCAAGAUCCCCACAUCUCUACCAUCUCAGGUGUGUGGAAUCCUGAGCAAUGUGCAUGUGAGGUGGUAGCCUCAUAUACAGAAAUUUCAAGCAUGAGUGAGUCCUGGAGAACAUGGACAUGAACACAACUCCCCAUAUACCUUCCUCUAAUUCCACUGUGAUCCCUGUAUAAUGUGGUUGUCACCUGAGAUCUGCAUGACCUCACUAACUGGCUGUAUAUGGGGCCCUCACUGAUAUAAAUGUGAACAGGGCUGCCUGCAUCCCCCUGACCUGUCAUCCCUGCCCGAGGCAUGUAGAGAACCUUGUACAGUGUGAACUUGACCUGAACACCCACUCUGUCCCCACCUCCUCAGACUUGUCUGAUGACUUGUGCAAUGGAACUGUAAAUUCAGCGCCUUGCCCUAUGUCCUGAAGUCUACCACACACCCCUGCCUUGACCAUCUCAACAAUGUGAGUAGCACUGCACAAUACACAUGUGAUCAGGGGCACUCCACCAUGUCUUGAUGACCUCAGGCAUUGUUGGAACCCUGGACAAUGUGGAAGUGUGAAGAGACCCAAAAAUUCUUGACCAACUCAGUUGUGUGGGCCCUUUACCAAGUCAACUACAAUGGUUCUGACACAUUGUAUGCAUCGGCAUCAUGAAUGGAGCCCUGUCCAAAGAGGACAGUACAAGAGAUGUACCAUUUUUCAUCCAGUGCAGGCCUGUGGAAAACCUUUACAACAUGGCUAUGACCAGCUUCCUCCAGGAAACAGUCAUCAAGUAUCGCAACUGUGGAACCCUCCUCACUGUGAAUGUGAACAGAGAAUCCCACAUCUUCAGGAGCUUGGUGGUAGAACUUGGAGCCCUGUACAGCUUGAUUGUAAACAGCCCCACAACCCACACAUGUCCUGUCUACUUCAGCAAUAUAUGGAGCCCUCCACAAUGUGAAAGUGGCCAGAGCCCCAUCCUUGUCUUAAGCACCCUAGGUGUGCAAGCAGCCCCAUACACAGCAGAUUGGAGCAGAGUCUCUCACUGUCCCAACCAGCUCAGGCAUGUGGGCUGCCCUGGACACUGUGAUUGUGAGCAGAGCCUCCCCAUGUUCUGACGACCUCAGGCAUUGGUGGUGCCCUGGACCACAUGAAUGUGUGCACAGCCCUGCCACACACUGCCCAUCCUUGGUUUGUGUGGUCCCGUUACAACGGGAAGGUCAGCAGACCCCACACACCAUGGACACCUGCAUCAUGCAUGGAGCCCUGUACAAGGUGGAUGUGAGACGAGGUCUACCAUUUCCUGACCCUUUCAGAUAGGUGGAAACCUUCUACAAUGUGGCUGUGAGCAGAGCUAUCCCCUUGUAGUGCUCAUCUCACAUAUGUGGAGCCUUCUUCAACAUGGAAUAUGAACAGAGCAGCCCAUUCAGUCAACACCUAUAGGAUUGUGGAACCCUAUAUGUGGGAAAUGGCACAGUCCCCCCCUCCACACACACACAUGCUGACUACCUCAGGCCCCUGUGGAGCCCUGUGUAACACUCUAUGUUGGGUGAGCCCUCUCCUGUCUGGACAACCUCAGGCAAGGUUGGAGUUCAGUCAAGUGAUGAUCAUUUUUCAAAGUAUAAAGCUUUAGACCAUGGGGAUGUGAACACACUUCCCAUGUAUACAAUUCUACUGUGAUUUUUGGGUCCUCUUCGAGGCUAGUGGAAGCACAGUCUCAAUAUAUUGAAAUUCUCAGAUACCAGUGGACACCUCUACAAUGUGUUCUGAGAAAUGCCCCACCACAUCCUCACAUCCUGAGGUGUCCGUUCAUCCUCUGUAAAGUGACUUGGGAAACAGCCCCUCCACAUAUCCUGACUAUAGCACAUGUGUAGAGUCCUCUGCAAACUGAAUGUGGCCAGAGCACCCAUGUGUGGACCAAACCAGACUCCUGUCAAGGAAUCCACAAAGUGAAGGUGGACAGAGGCCCCCACAUACACUAUGAUGACUUUUGAAGAACAUGGGGAGCCUGUAGAGUGUAUAUGUCAGCAGGGCCACCACCCACAUGUUCUGACACACUCAGGCAUUAGCAAAGACCUGAGACACAUGGAUGUGAAGACCGGUCCUCCAUGUCCUGCCACUCAGGGCAUGUGUGGUGCCCAGUACAAUUAGGUAAGUGUGGAGCCCCAACCUCUCCUCAUCCAUGCAGGGAUAUAUAGGAGGCCUUCACAAGGUCCACAUGCCCAGAUACCCAUCACAUCUCCACCAUCUCAGGCCUAUGGAAUCCUCCCCAAUGUUCAUUUGAGGCAGAGUGCUCAUAUACAGAAACUCUCAGGCAUAAAUCAAGUUCUCUGCAAAAUGGACAUGAACAAGCACCCCAUCCACCUACUUUUAAUGUCAUAGAAAUCCCUGUUCAAUGUGUGUGUCACCUGAGUUCCUCAUCACUUCACUAACAGGCUGUGUAUGGGGCUCUCCAUAUGUAAGAGCAGAGCUGUCCCCAUUCCCUGACCUGUCAUCACACCCAGAGUCAUGAAGGGAAUCUUGUAUAAUGUAAAGUUGACCUGCACACUCCCAUCUUUCACACAUGUGUAGUGACUUGGACAAUGUAAUUGUUAGGCCAACUGCCUGUCCCCCAUGUCAGAAAUACUACAAUGUUGUGAGCAUAAACCCUCUGUCCUGACCACCUCAUGAAUGUGUGAUAUAAGCAGGGACAUUUGCCCAUGUCCUGAUGACCUCAGGUAUUGCCGGAGCCCUAUAGAGCACAGAUAUGCGCAGAGACCCUCCAUCUCCUGACAAACUCAAGGGUGUGAGUCCUUUGCAGUGUCAAUGUGAACACAGCCCCACAAGUUAUAAGCAUCGCCAUCAUGUAUGGAGCCCUGUACAACAGGACGUGACAAGUGCUGCACCAUUUCAUGACCGACUCAGGCUCAUGAAAACUUUUACAAUGUGGAUGUGACCAGCACCAUUGGAUGAGGUCAUCAUGUCUCACACAUGUGGGACCCUCUUCAAUGUGAAUGUGAACAGUGCAGCCCAUGUCCUCACAAGCUCAGCUGUCCAUGAAACCUUCUACAGGGGUAUGUGAGCAGCAAACCCGAUAUAAAUGCUAACAUCUCAGGUACGUGUGAGGUCCUAUAUAACACAUGAUGGAAGUGGUACCCUCCCAUGUCCUGACACCUCAGGCUAUGUUUGGAGCCCUAUACAAUGAGAAUGUGAGCAGAGCCUCUCCAUGUCCCUACUUACAGACAUGUGUGGAGCCCUGUGUGACAUGGAUGUGAGCAGACCACUGUAACCAGACUGACUCAGGUCUUUGGAGCUCUCUGUUCCAAGGAGGAAGUUACCAGAACUAUCUAUUUCCUGACCACCUCAGCAGGUGGAGGAGCCCUCUGAAAGAAGGAACUGAGCACUGCCAUAUUGUUUUGAACACACUGGGGAUGUGGAGCGCUCUGUAAUGCGCCUGAGAGCAAAGCACAUCGGCAGGUGGCACACACUACUACACGGACGUGAGUAGAGCCCCCAGUAUCCUUUCCAUUUCAGAAAUGAGCAGAGACCUCUACAACAUGGAUGUGGAGCAGAUCCCUUAAUGUCGUGAUCAUCUUCAUAGGAUGUGGGUCCUUAUACAACAAGGAGGUGAGCAGUCUCCUCCAUAUCCUGACCAUCGAGGGUGGAAUGCUGUACAGUAUAAUGGCAGCAGACACCCACCUUGCUACAUCCAAGCAUCCCAGAGGUCGUACGUAGCCUUCUAGAUCCUGGCCAAGCCCCCACACAUGCUGAAUAUAUGUGGUGUGUGGGGAGCACUGCCUGACCUGGACGUGCACAGAGCCUCCCAUGUCCUGACCAUCUCAGGCUAUAUGUGGAGCUGUAUACAGUGUAGACGGGAAGGAACCACCCCACUCUUUAUUUUCUCAGGUGUGUGUGUGGAGCCUUCUACAAUGGAGACGCGAGCAGAGCCUCAGAGUACCAGGUCUCAAUCUCAAGUAUGGCACCUUCUCUCCUAGGACAAUGUCAGUUGUAUCUGCAUUGCCUUCUACAACAUGGAUAUGAGCGGAAGUCCUGACCAUUGUCACAUGGAUGGGGACCCCUUACAAUGUAGAAGUGAGCAGAGCUCCCCCACCCCUGGCUACCUAAGAUGGCACUAGAUGCUGCAUCUCAUGUGGCCGGAAUUGAAGCUCGUCCUCUCCUCAGCAUACUGCAGAACACUGGCAGUAAACUAGCAUGGGAACCACUGCUUCAGAUGAGACUCCCAGGCCUCACUGCCCUCCAUUAGACAGAGGUGUGUGAUAUUGCCGGUGACUGGAGAUAUGGGUUCAGCACAGCAAAGAUCAAACCCACCUGCCAGAUUGCUUUUGGUGGGCAAAGCCAAGGCAACACAGGCCUGGGGAGCUGUCAGCUCAGUCACAGGCCAGCAUCAUGAGAGUGAUGCACCAUGGUUGCCUUAGCACCUGAGUGCACAAUGCAGCUACCCUGCCAGUUCCUGGAAUUUCAUAAUCUGUCCACCUUCAUGCUGCAGAAACAUUAAGCCUUCUAAUUGUUCCUGUACUCUAAGGAGUGUGAGCAAAAACUAGUAAAAAUGAACCCUAGUACAGGAAUAACCUGUUCUCAACACAUAUUCCCUUUCUUUUCUGAUUCAAAACAGCAAAACUGUCCACAAAACUAGCUCCAUGCCAGACCUAGUGUGAUGGCACUAUAAUCCUAGCUACUCAGGAAGCUGAGGCAGGAUGAUUACGAAUUUGAGCCCAAUCUGGAAAGAUAAGCAAAAGUGUCUCCAAAAUGAACAAACAAACAAACAAACGGGAAACAUGUCUGGGUUUUUAGCUCAAUGGCAGAGCAAGUAUGUGUUCAUUCUAUGACCUCACACUAUAGCAUAGCAACAAAACUCUGACCACUUCAGGGGUGUGAGGAGCUCUGUAAAACAAGGCAGUGACCAGAGCCUCCCAAGUCCCCAGGAUCUCAGGCAGGAAUAGCCACCUGCACAAUGUCCUGACUGUCUUGGCUGCCAGUGGAGUCCUGGACAAUGAGAUGGUAAGCAGUUCUCCUGCACCCUCAUCAACUCAGAUGUGUGGAGCCCCCAACAAAGGUAAUGUGAACGAACAGAGACCCCCGUGACCCGACCUUUUCAGCUAUUUGUGGAGGCAAUGAGGAGGUCUUAACCACCUCAGAAGUAUGGCGGCCCCUAAUAUAAGUAUCUGAUCUAGGGACCACAUGUCCUGAUGCAACAGCAAGGAGCCACAUUCAGGUUGUGGCCACAGAAAUUUGAGGUUCGGCUGUACAUGAACAGAGAAGAGCCACAUGAUGAUUUUUAAAAGAUGGAAGUAAGUUUAUUAUAAAAGUACAGCAGAUGUGAGCAUAGUCAAAUAAUAUAUUACCACACAACCAGGCAGGAGACAGAACCAAAGAUGAAGGGUCUUGCAUGAGACAGAGCCUUGCACAGGCAGGAGACAAAAUGCCACACCACACUCAGUUUUUCAGUUUCUUACGUACUGUGUUCAGACAAAAGUGAAUUAGUGCCAACGGGGCUGUGUGGGUAGAGGGGAUCAUUCCAAGCCCUGGCUAGAGCCAGGGAAUGGUCAUUUUUCAGUGCGUGUUGUGUUUUCUUUUUGUUGUUGUUGUAUUUUUGGUACCGGGGAUCGAACUCAGGUCUUUGUGCUUGUGAGGCAAGCAGCAGAACCACUGAGCUAAAUCCCCGGCCAGUGAGUGUUAACAGUUAUCUCUAUACACUCCUUUCUCAGGAGAUCGUCAGCCUCCAUGCAGGAAGGCACACAAGCCAAGGUCAUUCAGCAAACACAUGGAUUUCACUCACUCUUUUCACCCUUUGCCUGACACCUGACCCUCUCAGGUGUGUGUGGAGCCCUCUGUGAUGUGGAUGUGAGCUGAGCACCCCACAUCCUCACAACCUUAGGCAGGUGUGGACCCCUAUAUGUGGGGAAUGGGAACAGAGUCCAACAAAAGUUUAUUUUAAAAUGAUUGGUGAAGAGUAAGGGAAGAACUAGCUCUGCAGAGCAAACAGAGAGCAAACAGAGAGGAAAGGACAGAAGUAACCAGAAAGGUACAUCCUGAGUGUGAAAGACACAGUACUGGCUAUGGUGGGGGUCAUGAGGGCAAGCUCCGCACAGUUUCCCGUCUCAUUAUACCAUCCAAAUCUGAUGGAGGCUUGUGAGAAGUUCCUGAGAGUAUCUGGUAUUGUCCUGGGAUCUUGAAAUUGAUACUUGGAAUUGACACUUCUUGCCCACUUCUCCAGCUGUGCUCUGGGAUUUGAAACUGAGAGCCUGCUGAUUUCCCCAGCCAGCUUUGCCAUGUCCUACCUCCCAUAUCACUCUAUGAUGGAGACGUGAGCCCUAUACAUGAGGAAUUUGAGCAAAGCCCACCACACAGAUACAACUCAGGCAUGCUGUAGGAUGUGAGCAGACCUGCCAUUUCCUGCCCACCUCAACUGUGUCCAGAACCCUCUACAACGUGCAUGUGAAUAAAACACAUUUCUCCUCAA